UACGUAGGGUGCAAGCGUUGUCCGGAAUUAUUGGGCGUAAAGAGCUCGUAGGUGGCCUGGUCGCGUCGGCUGUGAAAACUCGGGGCUCAACCUCCGAGCUUGCAGUCGAUACGGGCAGGCUAGAGUUCGGCAGGGGAGACUGGAAUUCCUGGUGUAGCGGUGAAAUGCGCAGAUAUCAGGAGGAACACCGGUGGCGAAGGCGGGUCUCUGGGCCGAUACUGACACUGAGGAGCGAAAGCGUGGGGAGCGAACAGG
rnacentral:rRNA from 1 species